rnacentral:tRNA from 1 species
AAAGAAAAUGACUGAAAUUUAGGUGGUAAAUUUUUAUUUUAUUUAUAAUGAAAAACUCAUUUUUUCUUA